UGGACGCAAGUCUGACCCAGCCAUGCCGCGUGCAGGAAGACAGCCCUAUGGGUUGUAAACUGCUUUUGUCAGGGAAUAAACCCCCGGAUGUAUCCGGGGCUGAAUGUACCUGAAGAAUAAGCAUCGGCUAACUCCGUGCCAGCAGCCGCGGUAAUACGGAGGAUGCAAGCGUUAUCCGGAUUCAUUGGGUUUAAAGGGUGCGCAGGCGGAUUAUUAAGUCAGUGGUGAAAUCCUACAGCUCAACUGUAGAACUGCCAUUGAUACUGAUAAUCUUGAGUAUAUUUGAAGUGGGCGGAAUGUAGCAUGUAGCGGUGAAAUGCAUAGAUAUGCUACAGAACACCAAUUGCGAAGGCAGCUCACUAAACUAUAACUGACGCUCAUGCACGAAAGCGUGGGGAUCAAACAGGAUUAGAUACCCUGGUAGUCCACGCUGUAAACGAUGAUUACUCGUUGUUGGCGAUACACAGUCAGCGACCAAGCGAAAGUGAUAAGUAAUCCACCUGGGAGUACGAUCGCA
rnacentral:rRNA from 1 species